AGGGGAACGGGGAGCGCGGCCGCCUCUCGCUUCCCUCUUCCCGCCGCGUUCCAGCGGGAUGGGAAAGGCGCGGGACGUGGUCCCGGCGGCGCCCCCGAGGCGGGAGUGGAAGAAAUGGGCGAAACGGGCUGGGGUCCCCCCCGCAGGGAAGGAGGGGCCGGGAGAAGGGAAGCAGGGCUGACCGCCGCGAUCGGAACAGGCCGCGUCCCCGCGCAACCCGCUACGGGCCUCCGGCCUCCCCUCCAGCUUCCCCCCUCCCUCCCGGGGGUACCGGCGCCGCGGGAGCGGCGCGGGAAGCGGGGGAAUAGGGCCACUCACUUGUCCUUCUCGGUGCCGAAGAUGGAGGCCAGGUUUCACGGAAUUAUGGGCCAAAAGCUGCAAGUCUGAACCCAGUGAAUUGAAAUUUUUGCAAUGGAGCAGCAAUGCAUGCGGAAGAUUCCAGUACUGUACAUCACUGAAAAGCACAUCGGGAAAUAAACUUACUCGUUCUGCUGGUUCAGAAAACAAGACUGAGGACUCAGUGUGUGACUAACAUUCAUCUCAGAUCUUUUGCGAUUCCCUGAAGCAGUAACAAGUGCACUUUAUAGCGCUCACAGCUCGGGUUGGGCCAUUCAUAGAUUAGGGCCAUUCAUAGAUUAGGAGUGUUAUAAAUGAAGUCUGUAAUUCCUGCUGUUAUGUAUAAAAAUGAGCUGUAAUAAAACUAUACAGAGCCAGAGUUUCAAACCCCGCCCCCCACCAGCCUGGCUGAGAGGAAAAUUUUGCAACACUAGAGCAGUUCUAAAGGAAGUUCUUUCAGCAGAGAUGUAAUCAAUAGGUGAGGAUUCCACCCCAGGUGGGGUUGGAUCUUAUCACCGGGACAUUAACACUAUGAUGACCUGCUACAUCUCAGCCAAUAAGGAAUUGGACAUUCCGGGAACUCCACUAAGGGUUCCAGGAAUCGGAAACAGACAAAUUCAUCACCAAAGAUGCACAAUUCAUCAGACCCAAGAAAUGCUUUGUGCAGUCCAACUUCGGGACAAGAAAACAUCAUGAAUAUGCUAAAUUGCGAGAAGAAUAGAAUUAAUUCGGACUCUGCCCAAAAACUGUAUAAGAAGGAACCAGCCAAAGCAGCAUCGAUGAACUUGGGAGCUCUGAUGCGAUAGAGAUCAUCAGAUCUAUGCGUGUUCACCCAGCUCCGACCCCGGGCUCAGGGCUGCUUUUCUCGAUCGUGGCUUUCUGUGUGACCGAUCUUUCGGCCGCGAAAUAAAAUCUAUUUCUUUAUUAAAUUUAA